CAUCAAAUCUUUCUAUCUAAAAAUCAUUUGCAUACCACACAACAAUCAAAUUCAGCUGAUACGUUAAAGAAAGAAGAACAUGGAUAACACCUCAAACUCACAAACAUCUGAACAUAAAGAGGUUAAAGGUGUAAUUGAUGAUGAUGACCCAGAAACAGUUGUGGACACCAACAGUAAGACAAAGGAAGGGUGCAAGUGGAAAGGUGAAGAAGAGGAUCAAAAUCAAAAGAUAAAAGGCAUGCCUCACCAACAAGUUCCACAACCUCAAGAUUUCUCAGCUGAAGCAUUGGACAAAGAGCUUCCACCCACUGAAGCCUAAAUUAGUAGUCCUUUUGGCUUUUUCUUAAGUAGUACUUCCAAAUUAAGAAAUAAUACCCAACAGAAGUAAGUCAUCAACAAAAUGAGUGGAUAUAUUACACCAAUAAUACAAUUAACAAAAACUAUUCCUCAUUUAACCGUAAAAAAUAAGAAAAAAAAAUCCUCAUUUUCUACUUGGCUAUUGUCACGGAUUGUGUCACAAGGAAUGUAAUAUAAUCACAUGAGCCAUAUGAUUUAGGGAUGGACAAAUUUUUAUAAGAAAAAGGUAUUUUCAGAAGUAUAAGCUAGGAGUACUAAACCCAAAUACAAAUCAAGUACAGUACACGUUAUAAACUCUCAACUCUCAAGGCACCCAAUUGGACAAUCGCACUAAAUAAUCACUUAUCGGCUCUACCAACAAUUGAGUGCAACUUGAACAAACACUUUUCUUUGCCACACUGGAAAAUUACUUUAUUCCUCAUUAUUCACAUACUCCACCCAAACUGGAAUCAUAUUAAAAUAUCUGCUUGAAUUUUAUUUAGAAAAUUGCUUUUUAGCUUCCAUUUUUCCUCUAAGCCACUUCGAAAAUACUCUCAAUUCAACAAUAGUUAACUGCCGUUAGCUGUACCAAAAAAUGAAAAGCAAUACUGCUGCAUCCAAGAAAAGAAAAAGGACACUUUUAAUUAGAAAAUUAAUAACUUGCAUUAUAUGAAAUUUGGGUACGUAAUCUUUCACUUCCGACCAAAAAGAAACAUGAAAGGGAAUGUUGCAGUUGAACAUGACAAAAUGUGAUUCUUG
rnacentral:lncRNA from 1 species